UACCUUUGCACCGUCUUACAAAAAGUUUGUAGGCUACAUAAUAAUUAUUUUUAUCAAUAUUGGCAUG
rnacentral:ncRNA from 1 species